GGCACCACUGGGAGCAGGGCGGGGGACGCCCGGCGUCCCCCCUCCCGUGGCGCAGUGGAGUUGCCCGGGUGUGGGAUGGUGGCGUGCCGGUGGAGCAGCCGAGCGUUGUUCGGUGUUUGUUCGCACACGCGAAUAAAGAUUGCACUACAGUGAUUCAAGAAGAAAUGACUGAUAGAAGACCUCUUUAAUGUCUAUAAAUAUCUGAAGGGAAAGUGCCAAGAGGAUGGAGCCAGGCUUUUCUUGGUGGUGCUGAGCAAUAGGACAAGAGGCAAUCAGUAGAAACUGAUGCACAGAAGUUCCACCUAAAUAUAAGGAAGAACUUCUUUACUGUGCAGGUAACCAAGUUCUGGAACAGAUUGCCCAGAGAGGUUGCGGAAUCCCCCUCACUGGAGAUACUCAAGAACCAUCUGGAAACAAUCCUAUGCCAUGUGCUCUGGGAUGACCUUGCUUAAGCAGGAAGGUUGGACCAGAUGACCUGCUGUAGUCCACUCCCAACUUGAUCGAUUCUCUGUGAUUCUGCUUGUAGAAAUCCUGUGUCAGUCUAAUCAUAAGUUCUGUGCUAUACUAAUAAUGAAGUUCUGCUAAGGAAAAUAAAGCUUUAAUUGUUAAA